UGAAAUUCUGUGUAUACAGUUCUUUGUGGACUGUUACUGCUGUUGUGUUGCCUGCAUUGAUUUUUGCCUCCAUUUAUUCUUUAUUGCAGUCUAAAAGUUGGUUUUAAUUGGUUGCCCACAGGAUUGGCUUGGCUUCUGCUACUUGUUAAGAAAAAAACAUCUGUCUUUGCAGAUGGCUGCGUGCGUGUCCCGGGUGGAGCUGUCCCUGGCCUGGCGGAGCCUCCUCGACGUAACCUGAGCUCCAGGUCGGACUCCCUCUGCGUCCUGCGCAGGACGCGGGCGAUGGCCGGUGGUGGGCUGAGCUAGAUCACACGGAAAAGGUCAAGAACUGCCAAGACCCUGAAUUCUGCAGGAAACUGUUUGUGGACUACUACUUUGAGAAAGUACAGAAGCUAAAAUUUGGCAUGUAUGAUAUUGAUAACAAGUCGUUUGAUUUAAAUGAUGAUGACUACCUGGGACGGAUUGAGUGUGCACUGGAUCAGGUUGUGUCCAGCUCAGUGUUCACCCAACUGCUGGAAUUGAAGCAGGAAAAGCCAGCAGGAAAGGGCACUAUUACGGGAUUUCAGCAGAGGAGAUUAAGGAUGCCAGGUUUGUGUACCUGGAAAUUGAAGCCCAAAACUUGGACAAAAAGGAUUUCUUAG
rnacentral:lncRNA from 1 species